UCCACUUCCCAUAUAAUAAUUUUAACUGAAUAUUCUUUGUACAACUUAUCACUUCCCAAAUCACCCAGACUUUGUUAUUGAUGCUUUUGGUCCUUAUUUUGCUUGAUGGUUUUUUUGCCUCAUUUGUUGACGCGUGCCACAGAGCUUCCCCUAUUGUUCAAAUUCAGGCGACUCUAUCAGAGAAAGCUCUUGAACUACUUGCUUUACCUGAUAACGACGUUCCUAAAUUACUCCUUGAUAUCGGUAAUAUAAAUUUGAAUUCAAUUUAGCUAUUCUCUGUGACAAUUUGGUGAUGUGCGAUGUGUGUUGUUAUUUGGUGCCUGGUUGGGGAUUAAUUUAGAGGAUUCAGAGGAAGAUUUGAUUGGGUUGGUGUGUGUGUAGUGUGUUGAAAUGGUUUUGGGAUGAUGGUGGCAGAAAAUUGAAGGGAUGAACGAACAUUGAUCAUAAUCAUGCCAUCUCUCGCUACAAAUUCGUGAAACCCACGCGAUCCAAGAGCACGUGAUGCCCAUGUGUCGGUAAUUAGAGAAAAUAGUGUGAUCACUGUUAAGGUGCAUGAAAUUCAAGUGUUUAACUGUAAAUUAACAAUUGUUAUGUGACCUGACAAAUGUAAAUAUGAAGUAAUUUAUAUUAUAAUUGACAUGCUGUGAUAUAUUUAUAAAAAAAACUAUUUGACUUA